rnacentral:rRNA from 1 species
UACGAAGGGGGCUAGCGUUGUUCGGAAUUACUGGGCGUAAAGCGCGCGCAGGCGGCUAUCCAAGUCAGUGGUGAAAGCCCGGAGCUCAACUCCGGAACUGCCAUUGAAACUGUUUAGCUUGAGGAUGAGAGAGGUGAGUGGAAUUCCCAGUGUAGAGGUGAAAUUCGUAGAUAUUGGGAAGAACACCGGUGGCGAAGGCGGCUCACUGACCCGAUACUGACGCUGAGGCACGAAAGCGUGGGGAGCAAACAGG